ensembl:miRNA mdo-mir-7392-2 mdo-mir-7392-1
UACGAGUAUACCUUGGUUACGUGUUAGUAAAAAUAGUAACCAUGACAUACUCGUUCC